AUUGAACGCUGGCGGCAUGCCUUACACAUGCAAGUCGAACGGCAGCACGGGAGCAAUCCUGGUGGCGAGUGGCGAACGGGUGAGUAAUAUAUCGGAACGUGCCCAGUCGUGGGGAUAACGUAGCGAAAGCUACGCUAAUACCGCAUACGAUCUAUGGAUGAAAGCGGGGGAUCGCAAGACCUCGCGCGAUUGGAGCGGCCGAUAUCAGAUUAGGUAGUUGGUGAGGUAAAGGCUCACCAAGCCGACGAUCUGUAGCUGGUCUGAGAGGACGACCAGCCACACUGGAACUGAGACACGGGUCCAGACUCCUACGGGAGGCAGCAGUGGGGAAUUUUGGACAAUGGACGGCAAGGUCUGAUCCAGCCAUUCCGCGUGCAGGAUGAAGGCCUC
rnacentral:rRNA from 1 species